rnacentral:lncRNA from 1 species
AUGUUUUCCCGGCUGCUCAGGCUAUUUCACAGGGAGAAUGGCGAUCAAGGAGAGACCAGACCAAGGCAGAAGGAAUCUGGCAUCCUUUCUUGUAAAAAACGAAGAAUGAAAUCAUUCUGGGGAAGACACAUGUCUGCUGGGAGAACAUCAUCCCAAAGUUGCAACAUUACUAAUCAUAUGAAGAAUAUGAAUAAACUAGAAGAUAUGAAAUUUUAUAUCAGGAAGAUAAAUGCUGAGCGGGAAGAACUAUUUUGAAUCUUGGACAUUGACAUGAAUACUGAUUUGAACUACAGGAUGAACACUGAAUUCACCAUCAUUAAAUCACAACAUGAGAAGACAAUGUUGGAUAUGGAAAAAAUGAAGCAGUCAAUAACUGAUUCCAUUGACAAGUACAAGGAAUUCAUAGAAGAUAAUGAUUCCUACAGCAUCAGGCACACCCACCUCCUGAAAGAAUGCAAUCAAUUGAAGAAAAAAGUAAGGAUGUUGCUGAAUGAGAACAGAAAACUGCUGGUAGAGCAGGCUGACCAGGAGGCAUCCUUUGGUGAAGAAAAGAGUUCUGUGAUGAGACCAGCAAGAACAUACAUCCCAAGUGCAAAGCAGCAGCAGGUGUGAAAUACUCCAGCAGAAACUGGAACAUGGAAGAGACCAGGACAAGGUCUCCUUUGAAGAGAACUUCUAUAGUGGGAUCCCUGCAUGUGCUAAGCAAAUGUUUCAUCUCAUCCCCAGUACUCAUGGCUAUCAUCUGCUGCAUUUUCUUCCUUUACUUUUUUUUUUCUUACAAUGAAUAGCCCUUAAUUUCAUCUGUGCUCUGGCUCAGCAAGAGUGAACAUGUAGAGGAAUUCAGAUAUGUGCUGAGGCACAUCAAGACCUACUGGGGAAAUAGGAAGAUUCUGAGAGUAAAUUUUUCUUGUCCUGAUAGGUCAUCAAGGAAAAUUACAAAAUCAUUCUACAAAAUUGCAAAGGUUUUGAGCCAAAGUCUGUAACAUGUUUUCUGCUUAGUCUUGGGUGUCCAUAUUUUUCAAACCCAUACUCCAAAAAAGGAGACCUACUUACAUUCCUCUUGUAAAGAUUGUUACCAGAAGUAACUUAUUUUCUACUGUGUUGCCAAAGACAGCCAUGGGCUGUAAGUCUGUGCUGCUAAAUGACAGCCAAAGAAGGCUCUUUAGCACAAUUUUUGUUUUUAGAUUUUGGUUUGAGCUUGGAUUACUUUUGUUAUUUGGUUUUCUUUAGUUUCAUUAGAAGUUUUUUGUUUGUUUCUUUGCUGUUGUUUUGUUUUGUAAUUGAUUUAAUGUUUUGAUAAGGCUAUACAGUAUAUAUAUUGACUACCCACUUUUAGUUACUAUUGAGUAAAUUGGAUGUAUUCUAAGAAUAAAACAGUGAUCUCCAA